GGCCGCUUGGCCCAAUGGUAAGGCGUCUGACUACGACCGAGUGUGUCAACACACUUGAAUAGUUAUCAGGAGAUUCUGGGUUCGAGCCCCAGGGUGGUCA
rnacentral:tRNA from 1 species